rnacentral:rRNA from 1 species
CCUACGGGCGGCAGCAGUGGGGAAUCUUCCGCAAUGGGCGAAAGCCUGACGGAGCAACGCCGCGUGAUCGAAUGAAGGCCUUCGGGUUGUAAAGAUCUGUUGACAGGGACGAAUAAGCCAUGCGAAUAGUUUGGUGUAUGACGGUACCUGUUUAGAAAGCUCCGGCUAACUACGUGCCAGCAGCCGCGGUAAUACGUAGGGAGCAAGCGUUGUCCGGAAUUAUUGGGCGUAAAGGGCGCGUGGGUGGGUGGUUAAGUCAGGUGUUAAAACUCUGGGCUCAACCUGGAGACUGCACUUGAAACUGGGUAUCUUGAGUGCAGGAGAGGAAUGUGGAAUGCCUGGUGUAGCGGUGAAAUGCGUAGAUAUUAGGAAGAACACCAGUGGCGAAGGCGACUUUCUGGACUGUACCUGACGCGGAGGCGCGAAAGCGUGGGUAGCGAACGGGAUUAGAUACCCUGGUAGUC